rnacentral:snRNA from 1 species
AGCUUUGCACAGUGGCAGUAUCAUAACCAAUGAAGUGAAUCUGAGGUGUGAUGUAUUGCUACUUGAAAAUCCGCUCCUCUCCCCUCUUGGUGGUAGAUGGUACAGUACUACUGCU